CAAAGACAGACCCCGAGCCCUGCGGUCUUGGGGCUCAAACAGUCCCUGGAUGGCCAAACAAGCGAAUAUUCGCCAUGGCAGUGGGUGCUGGAAGGGUGGCUCACGGAGCUGACGCCCUCUGCAGAGAACCGUGGUCUAGUCCUGCGGUCACGAGGCCUAUCUGGGACAGUGGUGUUUGAGCUGAGACUUUAACGAAUAGAGACAGGUGAGGUUCCUGCAGCCCAGGGCAUCAGGCACUGUGCUAAGCAGUUUUCCUGGAAGUGUCUACCUCAUUUCGUUCGCUGAAUAGCUCUAAGAGUGUGAACAACCCCAGAAGGAAAAAGAGUGCUGUUGUUAAAGGUAUCUGGCAUCGUGGACCCAACCAUCACCAGGAGUUUCUCACUUCAUCUCUGUGUGAUAAAUUUUGACAUAUGUAUACAUCCAUGAAGCCGGCACCACAAUCAAGAUAAUGAACAUCUCGCUUACCGCAGAAGUUUCCUGUGCCCUCUCACUCCUCCGUAUUCCUCCAUCCUCAGGAUUUCAUCAAAUGGUCUGCUGCACUGUGCUGGAAUUUUGAACUCCCCAGAGUAGUAAACAACAUCUUCUCAAGGGUAUACAAAUCAUCAGAUAGAGAAAACACCCAUUAUAGAGCUGUGGAGCCCUUACGAUAUAGUGCUAUGCUGCAACAAAGUAGACAGAAGAGUAUUUG
rnacentral:lncRNA from 1 species